GGCUCGAUGGUGCAGUGGCAGAGCACGCGCUCUUGGAUAGGACGAAACGCGUGUUCGAUUCCCGCCUGAGACCG